UAACACAUGCAAGUCGAGGGGCAGCAUGGUCUUAUCUUGCUAAGGCCGAUGGCGACCGGCGCACGGGUGAGUAACACGUAUCCAACCUGCCGUCUACUCUUGGACAGCCUUCUGAAAGGAAGAUUAAUACAAGAUGGCAUCAUGAGUCCGCAUGUUCACAUGAUUAAAGGUAUUCCGGUAGACGAUGGGGAUGCGUUCCAUUAGAUAGUAGGCGGGGUAACGGCCCACCUAGUCUUCGAUGGAUAGGGGUUCUGAGAGGAAGGUCCCCCACAUUGGAACUGAGACACGGUCCAAACUCCUACGGGAGGCAGCAGUGAGGAAUAUUGGUCAAUGGGCGAGAGCCUGAACCAGCCAAGUAGCGUGAAGGAUGACUGCCCUAUGGGUUGUAAACUUCUUUUAUAAAGGAAUAAAGUCGGGUAUGGAUACCCGUUUGCAUGUACUUUAUGAAUAAGGAUCGGCUAACUCCGUGCCAGCAGCCGCGGUAAUACGGAGGAUCCGAGCGUUAUCCGGAUUUAUUGGGUUUAAAGGGAGCGUAGAUGGAUGUUUAAGUCAGUUGUGAAAGUUUGCGGCUCAACCGUAAAAUUGCAGUUGAUACUGGAUAUCUUGAGUGCAGUUGAGGCAGGCGGAAUUCGUGGUGUAGCGGUGAAAUGCUUAGAUAUCACGAAGAACUCCGAUUGCGAAGGCAGCCUGCUAAGCUGCAACUGACAUUGAGGCUCGAAAGUGUGGGUAUCAAACAGGAUUAGAUACCCUGGUAGUCCACACGGUAAACGAUGAAUACUCGCUGUUUGCGAUAUACUGCAAGCGGCCAAGCGAAAGCGUUAAGUAUUCCACCUGGGGAGUACGCCGGCAACGGUGAAACUCAAAGGAAUUGACGGGGGCCCGCACAAGCGGAGGAUCAUGUGGUUUAAUUCGAUGAUACGCGAGGAACCUUACCCGGGCUUAAAUUGCAGAUGAAUUACGGUGAAAGCCGUAAGCCGCAAGGCAUCUGUGAAGGUGCUGCAUGGUUGUCGUCAGCUCGUGCCGUGAGGUGUCGGCUUAAGUGCCAUAACGAGCGCAACCCUUGUUGUCAGUUACUAACAGGUUCCGCUGAGGACUCUGACAAGACUGCCAUCGUAAGAUGUGAGGAAGGUGGGGAUGACGUCAAAUCAGCACGGCCCUUACGUCCGGGGCUACACACGUGUUACAAUGGGGGGUACAGAGGGCCGCUACCACGCGAGUGGAUGCCAAUCCCCAAAACCUCUCUCAGUUCGGACUGGAGUCUGCAACCCGACUCCACGAAGCUGGAUUCGCUAGUAAUCGCGCAUCAGCCACGGCGCGGUGAAUACGUUCCCGGGCCUUGUACACACCGCCCGUCAAGCCAUGGGAGCCGGGGGUACCUGAAGUGCGUAACCGCGAGGAGCGCCCUAGGGUAAAACUGGUGACUGGGGCUAA
rnacentral:rRNA from 1 species